AUUGAACGCUGGCGGCAUGCCUUACACAUGCAAGUCGAACGGCAGCACGGGAGCAAUCCUGGUGGCGAGUGGCGAACGGGUGAGUAAAGUAUCGGAACGUGCCCAGUCGUGGGGGAUAACGUAGCGAAAGUUACGCUAAUACCGCAUACGAUCUAUGGAUGAAAGCGGGGGAUCGCAAGACCUCGCGCGAUUGGAGCGGCCGAUAUCAGAUUAGGUAGUUGGUGGGGUAAAGGCUCACCAAGCCGACGAUCUGUAGCUGGUCUGAGAGGACGAGAAGCCACGCUGGGGCUGAGACACGGCCCAGACUCCUACGGGAGGCAGCAGGGGGGAAUUUUGGACAAUGGGCGAAAGCCUGAUCCAGCCAUGCCGCGUGCAGGAUGAAGGCCUUCGGGUUGUAAACUGCUUUUGUAUGGAACGAAAAGGUUUGGGCUAAUAAGCUGAGCUCAUGACGGUACCGUAAGAAUAAGCACCGGCUAACUACGUGCCAGCCGCCGCCGUAA
rnacentral:rRNA from 1 species